rnacentral:rRNA from 1 species
GUAGGGGGCUAGCGUUGUCCGGAAUCAUUGGGCGUAAAGCGCGCGUAGGCGGCCCGGUAAGUCUGCUGUAAAAGUCAAAGGCUUAACCUUUGAAAGUCAGUGGAUACUGCCGGGCUAGAGUCCGGAAGAGGCGAGUGGAACUCCUGGUGUAGCGGUGGAAUGCGCAGAUAUCAGGAAGAACACCAACGGCGAAGGCAGCUCGCUAGGACGAGACUGACGCUGAGGCGCGAAAGCGUGGGGAGCGAACAGGAUUAGAUACCCUGGUAGUCCACGCCGUAAACGAUGGGCACUAGGUGUGGGAGGUGUCGACUCCUCCCGUGCCGGCGCUAACGCAUUAAGUGCCCCGCCUGGGGAGUACGGCCGCAAGGCUAAA